AUUGAACGCUGGCGGCAGGCUUAACACAUGCAAGUCGAACGAGUGGCGGACGGGUGAGUAACACGUGGGAACGUGCCUUUAGGUUCGGAAUAGCUCCUGGAAACGGGUGGUAAUGCCGAAUGCCUUUAGAGCGGCCCGCGUCUGAUUAGCCAGUUGGUGGGGUAACGGCUCACCAAGGCGACGAUCAGUAGCUGGUCUGAGAGGAUGACCAGCCACACUGGGACUGAGACACGGCCCAGACUCCUACGGGAGGCAGCAGUGGGGAAUCUUGCGCAAUGGGCGAAAGCCUGACGCAGCCAUGCCGCGUGAAUUAUGAAGGUCUUAGGAUUGUAAAAUUCUUUCGGUGGCGAGGCGUUAACUGCAGAAGAAGCACCGGCUAACUCCGUGCCAGCAGCCGCGGUAAUAC
rnacentral:rRNA from 1 species